GACGAACGCUGGCGGCGUGCUUAACACAUGCAAGUCGAACGAUGAAGCGGUGCUUGCACCGUGGAUUAGUGGCGAACGGGUGAGUAAUACGUGAGUGACCUACCUUUGACUCUGGGAUAAGCCUGGGAAACUGGGUCUAAUACCGGAUAUGACCAAUCUCUGCAUGGGGUGUUGGUGGAAAGCGUUAUGGAGUGGUUUUAGAUGGGCUCACGGCCUAUCAGCUUGUUGGUGAGGUAAUGGCUUACCAAGGCGACGACGGGUAGCCGGCCUGAGAGGGUGACCGGCCACACUGGGACUGAGACACGGCCCAGACUCCUACGGGAGGCAGCAGUGGGGAAUAUUGCACAAUGGGCGCAAGCCUGAUGCAGCGACGCCGCGUGAGGGAUGACGGCCUUCGGGUUGUAAACCUCUGUUAGCAUCGAAGAAGCGAAAGUGACGGUAGGUGCAGAGAAAGCGCCGGCUAACUACGUGCCAGCAGCCGCGGUAAUACGUAGGGCGCGAGCGUUGUCCGGAAUUAUUGGGCGUAAAGAGCUUGUAGGCGGUUGGUCGCGUCUGCUGUGAAAGGCCGGGGCUUAACUCCGGUUUUGCAGUGGGUACGGGCUAACUAGAGUGCAGUAGGGGAGACUGGAAUUCCUGGUGUAGCGGUGGAAUGCACAGAUAUCAGGAGGAACACCGAUGGCGAAGGCAGGUCUCUGGGCUGUAACUGACGCUGAGAAGCGAAAGCAUGGGGAGCGAACAGGAUUAGAUACCCUGGUAGUCCAUGCCGUAAACGUUGGGCACUAGGUGUGGGGGACAUUCCACGUUUUCCGCGCCGUAGCUAACGCAUUAAGUGCCCCGCCUGGGGAGUACGGCCGCAAGGCUAAAACUCAAAGGAAUUGACGGGGCCCGCACAAGCGGCGGAGCAUGCGGAUUAAUUCGAUGCAACGCGAAGAACCUUACCAAGGCUUGACAUGCAUUAGAUCGCGUCAGAGAUGGCGUUUCCCUUCGGGGCUGGUGUACAGGUGGUGCAUGGUUGUCGUCAGCUCGUGUCGUGAGAUGUUGGGUUAAGUCCCGCAACGAGCGCAACCCUCGUUCUAUGUUGCCAGCGGUUCGGCCGGGGACUCAUAGGAGACUGCCGGGGUCAACUCGGAGGAAGGUGGGGAUGACGUCAAAUCAUCAUGCCCCUUAUGUCUUGGGCUUCACGCAUGCUACAAUGGCCGGUACAGAGGGUUGCGAUACUGUGAGGUGGAGCUAAUCCCUUAAAGCCGGUCUCAGUUCGGAUUGGGGUCUGCAACUCGACCCCAUGAAGUCGGAGUCGCUAGUAAUCGCAGAUCAGCAACGCUGCGGUGAAUACGUCCCCGGGCCU
rnacentral:rRNA from 1 species